rfam:Termitomyces sp. J132 unplaced genomic scaffold scaffold381, whole genome shotgun sequence.
GGGCACUUGAUACGGUUGGUAGCGCGCACGCUUCACAUCAAUGUAUUCUUCAGAUUUGCGUGAGGUUGUGGGUUCAACUCCCACAGUGUCCA